rnacentral:rRNA from 1 species
AUUGAACGCUGGCGGCAGGCCUAACACAUGCAAGUCGAACGGUAACAGGAAGAAGCUUGCUUCUUUGCUGACGAGUGGCGGACGGGUGAGUAAUGUCUGGGAAACUGCCUGAUGGAGGGGGAUAACUACUGGAAACGGUAGCUAAUACCGCAUAACGUCGCAAGACCAAAGAGGGGGACCUUCGGGCCUCUUGCCAUCGGAUUUGCCCAGAUGGGAUUAGCUAGUAGGUGGGGUAACGGCUCACCUAGGCGACGAUCCCUAGCUGGUCUGAGAGGAUGACCAGCCACACUGGAACUGAGACACGGUCCAGACUCCUACGGGAGGCAGCAGUGGGGAAUAUUGCACAAUGGGCGCAAGCCUGAUGCAGCCAUGCCGCGUGUAUGAAGAAGGCCUUCGGGUUGUAAAGUACUUUCAGCGGGGAGGAAGGGAGUAAAGUUAAUACCUUUGCUCAUUGACGUUACCCGCAGAAGAAGCACCGGCUAACUCCGUG